CAUCAGAGGAUCUAAAGGAUGAGAAAGGACGGAGAGCAACCGGAGGGAAACUUGAAGUGUACGUUCAUCUACGUGAGCCUCUUAGCGGCUGUGAUCAAGAGGAGAAAGAGCAGAAGCGGUUAGUGUUCCAGGAAGCCAUUGCUAGUGAGCCCACUGUAUCCAUGGUACGUCCAACAGUUAGUACAGGACCUGCAUCUUCUCUGAUAAAAGUGGAACAGACAACUAGUCUUGAUGCUCUUAAAUUAGAGUUCUCUCUUGUACAAAAGCCAUCAAAGCAGGUAAGAAGGAUCCUGCUAUUGUUCAGCGUGGUCGUGCCUUACAGUCUAAGAUUCAAGAGACUAAGCAAAGACUUCAAAGUGACGCUGGAUUCAGAUGAGAGUACUUGUUGGCCAUUGGCCGGGAAAUAAAGACAGAGAAGGUUUAUGAGCAACAGCUAGUGCAGGCUGGUAGGACUGGAGAGGCUAAGAUAAUACAAGGAAGGAGGAGAGUAAUGGAAAAUGAAAUAUCUAAAAUGACAAAAAAUGAACAUUUGUCUUAAUUAAUAAUUGUGCUAGUUUAUAAUUAAGCUUAGAAUUAUUAUAAUUGUUUUAGUACAUUUUUUGCUAGCAAUCAUCUAUUCUUAUUGUAUACAACUCAGUAUUAAGAUAUAAGCCACAGUGGGGUGUGUAGAUUGAUAGCAUACUUUACCCUGACCAAAAGGCCAGUGUUAGUUUUGUCAGAGGAAGACUCUGUUAUCUUGCAAUUUAGGAAGGUGAAGUGGCAAGAAAAGUUACUGGAUAAAAAAAAGUUAGUACAGAUGUAUUAUCCUUUCUUCUCUCUUACACUUCUAUCUUUAAUGUCCAAAAUGAUAUUUAAAAUGCAAUAGAGUGUUAGUAGAUUCACUGCACUAAGUGUAAGUAGCCAUUUCAUUUUGGAUGAUACUGCUUUUCUUCUUCAAUCUAUAUAAUACAACAAACUCUUAAUUACAACACAAUAGA